CCAUGACGGAGUGGCGGCCUGGAGGGCACUGGGGUGGAGUGGCGGGGAAGGCGCUCCUGUCACGCCGCUAGCUGCACCUUGAACCGGUGAAGCACAAAGGCUCGGCACACCAGGUGGGCGGCUUCUCUUACUCUGUUUAGUAGAGCGUGGUGUGCUGCCUGGGGAUACUGAUUCCUCACGGGUAUGUCUCCUCCCACCUAAGUCCCCGCGCCCCUGAUCUCCACAGAGACAGCUGUGUCCACCGUGGAUGCUCGUCAUGUCUGUCAGGGCCUGGUGUCGCGGUGAUACACUCAAGGGCCACCUGCCGCUGCUGCCAGUGUCCUGUGUGCACCCGCCGCCCCCACGCCUGUUAUAGAUGAGGCGCAGAGCAAGUAAACGUCACCAGAGUGCCAAGACGGGCCACCAGCACCUGUGUGGGACGCGUGUACCUUUCCCGGCGCGCUGGUGACUGUAAAGAUCCGCCACUUGUACGCAGGGAUCCUUUUUGCUGUGACCUGUCCUCUGAGGUGGAGAUGGGCGGGACUCUUCACGACGCCACAACACAACAUGACUCGCCUGCAAGAAAUACUGAACUGCCUUGUGGAUGGACGACUCGCCAACGCUUUCUUCAGGUCCAUCGCUACCAGGAAUUCUGUACCAGCGCCACAAGAAAAGAAGCGACGUGCCAGGUCCUGCGAUGGAAUCCUGUGGAAUAUUCUCUCGGUUUAUACAAUAUGAUUAUGAUUUUUUUUUUAAUGUUAACGAAUUGCUUACAUAAGAUUCAGUUUUUCAUAUAUUUUUUAGUUCCCUUAAUUAAGAACCCACAGCAGCCUCGGUAAGAAAGGAUCUUGCCAUAAUGUAGAGAAUUCAUUUCUACAAAAGAUGUGGUGAAUAAUUAUUACAUAAUGAACGUAAUGAACGAAAAAAAUAAACCCUGCA